AUGGAAAUGUGCAUUUUCCAUGGUGUGGAUGGCUGGGUGAGGGCAUCCAGACACCCCCAGAGGCAGAGCAGACCCUGCUGGAAUGGGGUGAUCUCUCCUGGGAAUCUCACAGCUUUACAUCCAGGCCAGAUGCCCCAGGAUCCUGACUUUGCCCCUGCCAGAGCAGCAUUCCCUUCCCAUCCCGUGUGGCUGCAGGGAGUGCCAGCAGUGCCAGCCUGUUGUCCUACUCCAGCAGGAUUAAAUCCUCCACUGGAAUGGCAGAAAAUGUCAUCCUGGACCCCAACAACUUCAACAGGAGAAAUGUCUGCUGGAUGCUGGUUCCCUCUCCUGCAGCACUGAGACAGAGUGGGUAUGUGACUGCUUGUACCUCAGCCUUGCAGGGCAAGGAAGAGAAAAUCCCUGGUUUUAAGCCAUGCUGGCACCUGACUCAAAGUUCUCAGAGGUCACCCGGGGUCCCUGGAUCAGACCUCUGUAAUAAGCAGCCGUUGUUUCCAGACAAAGCAAAA
rnacentral:lncRNA from 1 species